GUCCUGGUGGUGCAUGGUGCACAUCCUUGCACAAUGAGCCACAUCAGAUAGACUGAUGAGGAGAGACCCCGUUCGAUUCGGGGCCAGGACA